CCUACGGGAGGCUGCAGUGGGGAAUUUUGGACAAUGGGCGCAAGCCUGAUCCAGCCAUGCCGCGUGAGUGAAGAAGGCCUUCGGGUUGUAAAGCUCUUUCGGCCGGGAAGAAAUCGGCGACUCUAACAUAGUCGCUGGAUGACGGUACCGGACUAAGAAGCACCGGCUAACUACGUGCCAGCAGCCGCGGUAAUACGUAGGGUGCGAGCGUUAAUCGGAAUUACUGGGCGUAAAGCGUGCGCAGGCGGUUUUGUAAGACAGAUGUGAAAUCCCCGGGCUUAACCUGGGAACUGCGUUUGUGACUGCAAGGCUAGAGUACGGCAGAGGGGGGUGGAAUUCCUGGUGUAGCAGUGAAAUGCGUAGAGAUCAGGAGGAACACCGAUGGCGAAGGCAGCCCCCUGGGCCUGUACUGACGCUCAUGCACGAAAGCGUGGGGAGCAAACAGGAUUAGAUACCCGGGUAGUC
rnacentral:rRNA from 1 species